rnacentral:rRNA from 1 species
UACGUAGGGUGCAAGCGUUGUCCGGAAUUAUUGGGCGUAAAGAGCUCGUAGGCGGUCUGUCGCGUCGAAUGUGAAAACCCGGGGCUCAACCCCGGGCCUGCAUUCGAUACGGGCAGACUAGAGUUCGGUAGGGGAGUCUGGAAUUCCUGGUGUAGCGGUGAAAUGCGCAGAUAUCAGGAGGAACACCGGUGGCGAAGGCGGGACUCUGGGCCACUACUGACGCUGAGAAGCGAAAGCAUGGGGAGCGAACAGG